rnacentral:misc_RNA from 1 species
AAGUCGUAACAAGGUUUCCGUAGGUGAACCUGCGGAAGGAUCAUUAACACUUUUUCAAAUGAGAAAGAAAUUGUUUCACGUUUCUCUUUCUCAAAUCCAACUACCCAAAUUGAAGUGCUGGUGGAAAGUUCGGUUUCCGAGCUUUCCCACACGUUUUUUCUCUUCUUUCAAAAACCCCAAACACACAUGCUAAUGAGAUGACAAACAAAAAAACAAAAUAACUACUAACGUAACCAAACAACUUUUAGCAACGGAUAUCUUGGCUCUC